CAGCCGCCACGGUAACACGGAGGGUGCAAGCGUUAAUCGGAAUUACUGGGCGUAAAGCGCACGCAGGCGGUCUGACAAGUCAGAUGUGAAAUCCCCGGGCUUAACCUGGGAACUGCAUUUGAAACUGUCAGGCUGGAGUCUUGUAGAGGGGGGUGGAAUUCCAGGUGUAGCGGUGAAAUGCGUAGAGAUCUGGAGGAAUACCGGUGGCGAAGGCGGCCCCCUGGACAAAGACUGACGCUCAGGUGCGAAAGCGUGGGGAGCAAACAGGAUUAGAUACCCGGGUAGUCCCUGUCUCUUAUAC
rnacentral:rRNA from 1 species